AGCAACCUCCAAACAUUUGGAGUGAAUUGGCGCAACUUCUCUACUCCCGCGUGAAGCAAUGUUUUGUUUUGAAGAUUACUGCGUGACUACAGCUUUAUUUAAACAUAUAACCUAUAUCUCCAGAUUGUUGCUCUGAAAAUAACCCCACGCACAGGAAGCAACGAUGCACAACGCAAACCACCGCUGCAAUGGAGAUAAGUAGGAGAGCAAAUGAGAGAGAGGACCCAAGGGCGUUCCAGGUGCUCAAGGUCUGAGUGGACACAAAGGAGAGAGAGGACCCAUGGGCGUUCCAGGUGCUCAAGGUCUGAGUGGACGCAAAGGAGAGAGAGGACCCAUGGGCGUUCCAGGUGCUCAAGGUCUGAGUGGACGCAAAGGAGACAAGGGCUUCCAAAGAAGAGGUGGACCCAAAGGAGACAUUGUAGACUCCGACGUGGAGGGGCUAGCUGGUGAGAAAGGGGAAAAGGUAUGUCUGGAGAAUCUGGCACUAAAGGACAGCACAGAGUGAGGAGACCUUGGACAUAAUGGUCCAACAUGGAGACUCUGGGAAGCCAGGUGAUGUAGGACCCCCUGGACUGCCUGGUCCUCGGGGGUUGAAAGGCAUGAGCGGUGUGCAUGGCAGGCCGGGUAUUGAGGGUCCACCGGGACAAGAUAUAUCUGACCAGCAUAUUAUUGAUGUGGUAUAAAGAAUGUUGCAAGAGAGGCUGGCAGCAGUAGCAGUGAGCACUAAAAGGGCUGUGCCGUUGAACAACCGGCUAUUCUGGUCCUCCGUGAUUAAUGGUUCCACAAGGACCACAUGAUUUGCCUGGUUCCCGAAGAAUUCCUGGAACGAUGGGAGCUGACAGACGGAUUGGAAACACAGGUCUUAAAGGUGGGGACAUGUUUAGUUUCAUCUACAGUAAUGUGUGUGUAUACAUAUGCUUACAUAUACAUAUUUAAACGUCUAUACAUUUGUACCAAUGUGUACAUAUGUAUGCACUUUUUUUUAGUCAGUAUACAAACGUACAACGAAUUGGGGUUAGGGUUAGAAGGGUUAACCCUAACCCCAACCCUAACCGACUGUCUUUCUAUGCCUAAAACCUACCCUCUAACCCUAACCAUAACCCCAACCCUAAAUGACUUUCUUUCGAUGCCUAAAUGCUACCCAUCUCGCUUUCUCUUUAAAUCUAACCCUAAAUCCUUACCCCAACCCUAACCCCAACCCUAACCGACUGUCUUUUCUAUGCCUAAAACCUACCCUCUAACCCCAACCCUAACCGACUUUCUUUCUAUGCCUGAAUCCUACCCGUCUCUCUUUCUCUUUAAAUCUAACCCUAAAUCCUUACCCUUACCCCAACCCUAACCGACUGUCUUUCUAUGUCAAAGACCUACCCUCUAACCCCAACCCCAAUCCCAACCACAACCCCAACCCUAACCUUACCCUAACCCAACCCUUAACCUAACCCAAAUCCUUACCCUUACCCCAACCCUAACCCUAACCGACUGUCUGUCUAUGCCUAAAACCUAACCCUUAUCCUAACCCAAAUCCUUACCCUAACCGACUGUCUUUCUAUGCCUAAAACCUACCCCAUGACCCCAAUCCAAACCCCAACCCUAACCGACUGUCUUUCUUUGCCUAAAACCUACCCCCUGACCCCAAUCCUAACCCCAACCCUAACCGACUUUCUUUCUAUGCCUAAAUCCUACCUUUCUCUCUUUCUCUUUAAAUCCAACCCUAAAUCCUUACCCCAACCCUAACCCCAAUCCUAACCCAACC